rnacentral:rRNA from 1 species
GAGACACGGCCCAAACUCCUACGGGAGGCAGCAGUGGGGAAUAUUGCACAAUGGGCGAAAGCCUGAUGCAGCGACGCCGCGUGCGGGAUGACGGCCUUCGGGUUGUAAACCGCUUUUGAUCGGGAGCAAGCCUUCGGGUGAGUGUACCUUUCGAAUAAGCACCGGCUAACUACGUGCCAGCAGCCGCGGUAAUACGUAGGGUGCAAGCGUUAUCCGGAAUUAUUGGGCGUAAAGGGCUCGUAGGCGGUUCGUCGCGUCCGGUGUGAAAGUCCAUCGCUUAACGGUGGAUCUGCGCCGGGUACGGGCGGGCUGGAGUGCGGUAGGGGAGACUGGAAUUCCCGGUGUAACGGUGGAAUGUGUAGAUAUCGGGAAGAACACCAAUGGCGAAGGCAGGUCUCUGGGCCGUUACUGACGCUGAGGAGCGAAAGCGUGGGGAGCGAACAGGAUUAGAUACCCUGGUAGUCCACGCCGUAAACGGUGGAUGCUGGAUGUGGGGCCCGUUCCACGGGUUCCGUGUCGGAGCUAACGCGUUAAGCAUCCCGCCUGGGGAGUACGGCCGCAAGGCUAAAACUCAAAGAAAUUGACGGGGGCCCGCACAAGCGGCGGAGCAUGCGGAUUAAUUCGAUGCAACGCGAAGAACCUUACCUGGGCUUGACAUGUUCCCGACAGCCGUAGAGAUGCGGCCUCCCUUCGGGGCGGGUUCACAGGUGGUGCAUGGUCGUCGUCAGCUCGUGUCGUGAGAUGUUGGGUUAAGUCCCGCAACGAGCGCAACCCU